AAGGCCUUCGGGUUGUAAAGCACUUUUGGCAGCGAUGAAAAGGUUCUGGCUAAUACCUGGAACUGCUGACGGUACCUGCAGAAUAAGCACCGGCUAACUACGUGCCAGCAGCCGCGGUAAUACGUAGGGUGCAAGCGUUAAUCGGAAUUACUGGGCGUAAAGCGUGCGCAGGCGGUUUGGCAAGAAGGAUGUGAAAUCCCGGGGCUUAACCUCGGAACUGCAUUCUUAACUGCCAGGCUGGAGUAUGUCAGAGGGGGGUAGAAUUCCACGUGUAGCAGUGAAAUGCGUAGAGAUGUGGAGGAAUACCGAUGGCGAAGGCAGCCCCCUGGGAUAAUACUGACGCUCAUGCACGAAAGCGUGGGGAGCAAACAGGAUUAGAUACCCUGGUAGUCCACGCCCUAAACGAUGUCAACUAGCUGUUGGGGCCUUCGGGCCUUAGUAGCGCAGCUAACGCGUGAAGUUGACCGCCUGGGGAGUACGGUCGCAAGAUUAAAACUCAAAGGAAUUGACGGGGACCCGCACAAGCGGUGGAUGAUGUGGAUUAAUUCGAUGCAACGCGAAAAACCUUACCUACCCUUGACAUGUCUGGAAUCCCGAAGAGAUUUGGGAGUGCUCGCAAGAGAACCGGAACACAGGUGCUGCAUGGCUG
rnacentral:rRNA from 2 species